rnacentral:misc_RNA from 1 species
GAUGAAGAACGUAGCGAAAUGCGAUAAGUAAUGUGAAUUGCAGAAUUCAGUGAAUCAUCGAAUCUUUGAACGCACCUUGCACCCUUUGGCAUUCCGAAGGGUAUGCUCGUUUGAGUGUCAUUGUACUCUCACACUCUCCGAUCCUAUGGAUUCGGGGAGCGGUGGACUUGGGUGUUGCUGCCUUUCCCUGUGGCUCACCUCAAAUGCGUCAGUGCACCUCUUGGUUGGACAUAGUACGGCGUGAUAAGUGUCUUCGCCGGCACCUCGCAAGAGGGUGGCCGAUCGGGAGCUCUGCGCUUUCAAACCGUCUUCGGACAAUUUCUGACAUCUUGAUCUCAAAUCGAGUAGGACUACCCGCUGAACUUAAGCAUAUCAAUAAGCGGAGGA